UGGGUGUACAUUUCCAUAUUAAAUUUCACAUUGAUCAAUGAAUUAGGAAAAAAGAAAUUACUCAGAGAUUGUUUAAUAUUUCUGUUUUAUAGACUAAAUAUUUAAAUACAAUGUAUGCAGGCAUCUCAAAAUGGUGUGAUAGGCAUAACCUUGGUAGCUAAUUGGUUUUUGCCGCUCAGAGAUACCAAAUCUGAUCAAAAGGCUACAGAAAGAGCAAUUGAUUUCAUGUAUGGAUGGUAAGAAUUCCUCUUUCCUUUUAUGUAACUUUGGUUUCUUCAAAAUACAUAGGCAUUUAUUGCACUAAAAUAGUCAAAUUAUAAAUACAAUUGACAAGUAGUAUUAAUUUAUCAUACUAUACCUUGAUAUAAUAAGGAUUCACAAUCCUUAGCUUUUGAAGGCUUCUACGCAUUUCUCAAACAAUAAAUGGAAGGCCUUUAGGGAUAUAUAUAUGAACAAAUAAUUUAUUUUAAGAAUAAUUCUUUUAAAAUUAUUUCUUAUUUUUAUCAUUCAUUUUCUUAAAAUCUAGUGAUUGAUUAGAUUUUAAAAAAUUAAAUAGUUACUUUUAUAGUAAUUAUAAAAAAGUUAUAUAUAUAUAUAUAUAUAUAUAUAUAUAUAUAUAUGAUGUUUACAAUGCAUGACUUGUUAAACAAAAAAGUUGAAUUCACAAUUAUUUUUUAUUUAUUUCAGGUUUAUGGAUCCAUUAACAUCUGGAGACUAUCCAAAAAGCAUGAGAUCACUUGUGAGGACACGAUUGCCAAAAUUUACUGUAGAACAAUCCAAACUACUUAUUGGUUCAUUUGAUUUUAUUGGCCUAAACUAUUACUCUACAACAUAUGCCUCUGAUGCACCUCAGCUAAGCAAUGCUAGGCCUAGCUACUUAACAGAUUCUCUUGUCACUCCUGCAUGUAAGGACUUCAAUCCUCUGUCAUUCUAUCAAUUCCCAAAAUUACAUCUAUAGACAAUUGAAUAUGAUCAUGGAUGAUAAUGGUUUGUAUUUUAUGUUAUUGACUUAUUGCAGAUGAACGUGAUGGAAAACCUAUAGGAAUAAAGGUACGUGUAUACGCACCCAAACAUGCAAAUACUCUAUUGGUUCUAACUUCUAAUUCUGAUAAAAUAUACAACUAACUUUUUUUUUUAUUUUUAAAUUAAGCAGAUUGCUUCAGACUGGUUAUACGUUUAUCCAAGAGGAAUUAGUGAUCUUUUAUUGUAUACCAAGGAAAAGUACAAUAAUCCUUUGAUUUACAUCACUGAAAAUGGUAAGCAAUACUCGUCUAUAUGUAGUUAAUUUUCUUCAAUGCAAUGUUGUAUACUAUUAUUCAUGAUUUUUCAAUUUUCGUAACUUAUUAAAAUUUUUUCCUAACUUAUAUCUUACAAAUUUAUAGGUAUAAAUGAAUAUGAUGAACCAACGCUAUCACUUGAAGAAUCUCUUAUAGAUACCUUCAGAAUUGAUUAUCAUUAUCGUCAUCUCUUUUAUCUUCAAUCAGCAAUUAGGUAAAUAUUUUAUUAUAUAUAAUAAGUUUAUGUUAAUUUGUUAUACAAGUUAAUAGUUUUUAAUUCAUUUUCUUUUAACUUACAAACUUGAUAUAUAUACAGGAAUGGCGCAAAUGUUAAAGGAUAUUAUGUAUGGUCUUUGAUUGAUAAUUUUGAGUGGUCUUCGGGCUAUACAUCGCGAUUUGGAAUGAUCUUCGUGGAUUACAAAAAUGAUUUGAAGAGAUACCAAAAAUUGUCUGCACUAUGGUUCAAGGAUUUUCUCAAAAAAGAAACCAAACUUUAUGGCUCCAAUAAAUAGUGUUGUGAACUUUGUUUAUCAAAUAAUUAUAUUUUGUAAAUAAUUAUUUGAUAUAUAUUUGUUAUUCUUUUAUUCUAAAAAGGUCCCAUUGGACUUACAGGGGAAAUAGCUAGAGAUUUAUUAGAUUGUUCUUUUUUUUUUACAAGCUUUUAAAGAGGUCCUAUUGGAUUAGAGGGGCUAUAGAGAUUUAUUUGACCAUUCUUUUAUUCUAAAGAGGUCCUAUUGGACUUAUAAGGGAAAUAGAGAUGCUGAUUAAUUUGGUGAUAAUUGCUACUAAUGUUACAAUAAGAAGGAAAAAAACGUUAUGAUAAAGAUGUCACUAAUUUACAAUUGAUUGUAUUUGAUAAUUUAUUGAAUCUUAUGUUCGGGGAUUUUGUGAAAGUUAAUGAUAGUAAAGCUUACUUUCACUCUAAUCCCAUCGAGUGGCUAGAAAAUAGAAUUAAAACGAACCUACGAACUAUUAGCACUAAAUCAUUGAACCGAUCUUAUAGUAAAAAAUCAAUGAUAUAUAAGAAAAGAUGUAUGGAUUUAAACAUAUAUAAAUAUAUUCUUAUGAACACUAUCAUAACAUAUCUGUAUAAGUUUUGGCAUCCUAGUAUUGAGAAUGAAAUUUAAUAUGAUCAGGGUUGAUAUUAAUGUUAUUGAGUAACUUAGUUUGAAUUCUCAAUGGAAUGUGAGGACUUAGAAUCAAAUUCUUUCUGUUAUAGAUGACAAUAUGGGUAAUAUAUAUGUGCUCAAAAGGGGAUGAAUUGAACAUUUCAAAGUUUUUUCCAAAUCAAUUUUCCUAUCCUCCUUUAAAAACCUAUCAAAAUUAGUUUCUAUAUUUUCAAUUGAUUUCACUUGCAAUUGAUUAUACAGUAUUUAUUAAUUUACUGCAACUUAUAUUGGAGGAUUUUUGUGAAAGUUAAUAAUAGUAAAACUCAGUGUGGCUAGAAUAAAAACGGACAUGUGAACUUUAGUCACUACAUCAACGGACAAUUCUUAUAUAUAGUGAGAAAAAAAAUUUAAAACCAAGUUUGAAGAAAUUGAUAAAGGAAAUCAAAAGAAAUAUAAUAAUAAUUAGGUUUGAAGAAUCAAAGAAAAUGAUUAAGUUGAGAAUAAUUACAUGAAAAUCGUAAAUUUACCAUAAAAACAAUAAAUAAAGUACUUGAAAUUAAAAAAUAUUUGAAGAGAAGAAAGAGUAAGAAGAAAAAAGUAAUAUGGAAAUUAAAUUAAAGGUUGGUAUGGUAAAUUGAAAUAGAAAAUUAAAUUGAUAAAAAAGUAAAGAGAUGCUCGAGUUUUCAUAUGGUAGCUAGGUUAACCAUGAGAGAGUACUGAUUACAAAUCACAGAAAGUCAGUUAUAGAUGGGGCGGGGCCACAGGAAGCCUUACGAAUGUGACUGUCCUGCUAUUUAAUUGUUGUGGAAAUGGUGAAACAAAUAACACGAAUGAACACACACACACACAUAUGAUGAAAGCCCUAAUAGUCCUUAAGAAAUAAUAUUGCUGCACCAUAGGUUAUGUAAUUAGUCAAGCAUUGAUUUGACUACAAUAUUCGUUGCUAAGAACAAACUAAUGUCGUAGUGCAUCUCAUUGGGGAGGCGGAAGGAAGUGCAGUUGUUGGUUGCAGCCUUUUUUUUUUUUUUUUUAAUAAUUUUCGUGUUACUAGCUUCCACGUAACUUCGUGUGAAGAACCAUAUGCGCUUUCCCUUUUUCAAAAUACUGUUUUGUCUCUUUGACCCCACACACACACACACAUAUAUAUAUAUAUAUAUACACACACACACAAAUUAAGAUCACAUGUGCGCUUAUUAAUUUUCUUGUUAAACAAUGUCGUCUAAAGGAAAGCCUUUCUUUUAUUAUACUUAAUCAACAUCAUUAGGAAAAUGGCCAAAGUAAGAAAAACUCGCUCGGGAAAAGUCAGCAAGAAUAUAUGUAUCAAACAAGGUAGGCACGUGCAUAGUGUUUAGUCAGUCCACUAGUCAACGGUAGCAUAUAUUAUUAUUUUCAAAUCAAAUCGUCAUUGUCAUGGCGUGGUAGUAGGAAUUCUGAUAGGAAGAAGCUGCAGCAGAAGCUCAUGACAGCAGGCCCAAGAGGAGCACUAACAGACCUUCAUAUCUUGAUGAUUUUGUGUAGCCUCUGUAGGAUCGAAUAGCAGUAGUGCUAUUUCAGGAUAUUAGUGGAGGUAUAAAGUCUGCUAUUAGUGGAGAAUCAAUUCUGUUAGGAUCACAUAAGCUUGUUAUUACCUGUACAAACAUGAGUAAAUAAAUGAAUCAGCAUAGAUGAAUUUGAGUAAGAAUUGUGUAGUAACAGAUAUCUUCACUCGUAAUUAUCCUGAUAAGAUCAUGGAUAGAAGCAAGGGAGACGUGGCAAUUGACUCUAUCACCACUACAAGAGGAAGAUGUUGGGAUGAUGAAGGAUAUGAAUUUGGAUUCAUAUAGAUUUUCCAUUUAUUGGUCAAGGAUUCUCCCAAGUAAGUUAAUUGCAAACAAAGCAAUGUCUAAUUUGAACUAAAUUUUGCCUAGUUGGAUGUUAAUUUCCCAUUAACUAUUUUUUUUAAUAAACUAUAUAUUUACCGAAGGAAAGCUAAGUGGAGGUAUAAAUCAAGAAGGAAUUAACUAUUACAACAACUUAUCCAUGAGCUAGUGGCUAAUGGUUAGAAUUUAAACUCAAUUGGUUCAACUUUAUGUGUACUUCUAAUUUUAUUUUAUUAUAUUGCCUUGGUUUUAAUUAUCAUAAUUUAUUAAAUAUUAACAAUUAUAGGUAUACAAUCACUGUUAGAAAUAGCUGCUAUUCCUCGAUCUGGGACGACCAUAACCAUUUGGCAGCUUUUGAGAUCAUCCAUGCAAGGUGAUUUUGGGAACACAUCACAGAUGACGUGAUCAUACUGGAUCACUUGUUCAUUUCUCCAUCCAUCCCAAAGGGUCCUUAAAUUAAUUGUUAAUGAUUUUUUUCUGCCCGAACACACUACAGCAAAAUGAUUCCUAAUGGCAAUUAAUAUUUCUUUUACCAGCAAUAGAAAUGGCCGCAAGUGAACCAGUUUCACUCAAUACACAUGUUCGUGCAAUGGUGCUAUAAUACACAUGCUCUGAUACCACUUUGUUGGAAGAAGAAGAAGAUUUUAUUUCAUUUGUCACACCAAAUACAAGAGUAUGAUCCCCUAUUUAUAUUAAAAUAGAGUGACCACUCACAAAAUUUGCUUAUUCAAGAAUAUUAAAUGUUCACAUAAUUGCUUAUUCAAGACUUUGUAACUCACAACCUUACAACUUGCAUAUUCCACGCUCAUAAAACUUGUUAUUAUUAUUUUUCUAAUUAAUAUCUAACAGGCUAUGACUAAAGCCGUGGUUAACAAAUUAAAGAAGCUCAUUUCUCACAUAAGAUACUUCCGUAUUGGCCAUUCAUUUUGGAGGUAAUUAAGUAGGUUCCUCUGCCACUGGAUAUACAUGAUCAAUUUCAUCAUAUGUGUGGAAUAGCCAGAAAUAUCUCAUUUACACUAUAUAUCAUGACCACGCCAAUUACCAAAAGUGUCUUGCAUGAGAUUCAAAAGGUUCAAAGUUCUUUUAAAUGGGGUGAUCAACAAAAUGAUGAGGCUGGAAUGUAGUAAAUUGGCACACCAUGAUGAUUCCUAAGAGGUGCAUAUGGGUAUGUGUAAAUUUGUAGAAUUGAACAACGCUUGCCUAAUUAAUGAAGCUAGGAUGGACAUUUAGGUCAAGGGAUCAUCGCUGUAGAGCGUGCGGUUUAAGAGGGAAAAUUUGGUCGCUGAAUUCUUGAGAAAGAGUACUGUGGAAGUCAGUGACUGGCAGAAGGAAACAAAACAACUUUUAGUUAUUUAGAUUAAUAUUUUCCAGCUGAUCCUAAAGCGUUAUUUGUGAUGAUAUAAGAGAUGUUAGACAAAAAUAAUGCGCGCGGAUUCAACAUUCCCGGAAGUUUUAACUCUUUAUUUUCGUGUCCUUCCAUGAAACUUCGUGUGUGAAGAACAUUAUGUGCUUUCCCUUUUUCAAAAUACUAUACUAUACUAUUUUAUCUUUGACCAUACAACAGUAGAUCACUUGCAUGUGAGCUAAUAUUCUUGUUAAAAAAUGUCGCAUAAAAGACAUAGCCGUCUUUUAUUAUAAUCAACAUUAUUGGCAAAGUAAGAAAAACACGUGUGGAACAAGUCAACAGGAUUUUUAUCAAACAAGGUAGGCAGAUGCAUGGUGUUUACUCAGUCUUCUAAGUCAGCAAUAGACAGCAUACUAUAUAUUAUUAUUAUUAUUAUUAUUAUUGAAUCAACGUCGUAGUCAUAGAGUGGCAGUAGGUAUUCCACUCCUUCCUAUAUAAAGAGGAAAGGUUUCGGAGAUAGAGAACACCAAAACAAUCAACUAAGAAAAACAUAUCACACAAUAUGGCAUUCAAGGGCUAUUUCCUUCUCGGCCUCGUUACUCUUGUUCUUGUUAAAUCUUCCAAAGUUACAUGCGAAGAAGAAUCAGUUAAUACAGUUUCACCCAUUAUUGACAUUUCACUCAAUCGGAAGAGUUUCCCAGAAGGGUUCAUAUUUGGGGCGGGAUCUUCCUCGUACCAGUUCGAAGGGGCAGCAAAGGAAGGUGGUAGAGGACCAAGUGUAUGGGAUACCUUCACCCAUAAUUAUCCAGGAAAGAUCAUGGAUAGAAGCAACGGAGACAUGGCAAUUGACUCAUAUCACAACUACAAGAAAGAUGUUGGGAUGAUGAAGGAUAUGAAUUUAGAUUCAUAUAGAUUUUCCAUAUCUUGGUCAAGAAUUCUCCCAAGUAAGUUAAUUUGCUUACACCCAAUGACUAAUUUGAAAUAAAUUUUCCCUAGUUGGAUGUUACCCAUUAACCAUUUUCUAAUUAAACUAUAUAUCUACAGAAGGAAAGCUAAGUGGAGGUAUCAAUCAAGAAGGAAUCAACUAUUACAACAACCUUAUCAAUGAGCUACUAGCUAAUGGUUAGAAUUUAAUUAUACUCAAUUGAUUCAACUUCAGCGUACUUCGACUUUAAUUUUUUAAUAUUUCGUUAUUGUUAAGAAUCAUAGUUAAUAAGAUAUUAACAUUUACAGGUAUACAACCACUUGUAACUCUCUUUCAUUGGGAUCUUCCUCAAGCUUUAGAAGAUGAGUAUGGUGGCUUUUUAAGUCCGCGCAUAGUGUAAGUUUCAAUUCUAAUACAUAGCUUAUUUGUGUACUUAGCACAUUAUAUUUAACAUCUAGAUAUGAAUAUAAUUUGUCUAACAAACAUAUAUUGAUCUUCAGGAAAGAUUUUCGAGACUAUGCAGAACUUUGCUUCAGGGAAUUUGGCGAUAGGGUGAAGUAUUGGGUUACAUUGAAUGAGCCAUGGAGUUACAGCCAAAAUGGCUAUGCAAAUGGGCGAAUGGCACCUGGCCGUUGUUCUGCAUGGAUGAAUCUGAAUUGCACUGGUGGUGAUUCUUCAACGGAGCCUUACUUGGUUACACAUCACCAACUUCUUGCUCAUGCAGCUGCUGUUCGUGUGUACAAGACCAAGUACCAGGUUAGUUUAUUUGUUCUUAAUCUUUUAGAUAUGCUACAAGGUUCACUUUGCCUUAUUAAACUUUACCUUGAGCCAGGAAUUAGAAAAAGGAAAUUCUCAUAAAGGUUGUUUGACAUUUUUGUUUUCUAACUAAAUAUUUAAAUACAAUGUAUGCAGGCAUCUCAAAAUGGUGUGAUAGGCAUAACCUUGGUAGCUAAUUGGUUUUUGCCGCUCAGAGAUACCAAAUCUGAUCAAAAGGCUACAGAAAGAGCAAUUGACUUCAUGUAUGGAUGGUAAGAGUUGAUCUUUCCCUUUAUGUAACUUUAUUUGAUGUUGAGAAUGCAUGCCCUGUUGAACAAAAAAAUUGAAUUGACAACUAAUUUAUUUUAUUUCAGGUUUAUGGAUCCAUUAACAUCUGGAGACUAUCCCAACAGCAUGCGAUCACUUGUGAGGACAAGAUUACCAAAGUUUACUGCAGAGCAAUCCAAACUACUUAUUGGUUCAUUUGAUUUUAUUGGCCUAAACUAUUACUCUACAACAUAUGCCUCUGACGCACCUGAUCUAAGCGAAGCCCGUCCUAGCUACUUAACAGAUUCUCUUGUCACUCCUGCAUGUAAGGACUUCAAUUGUCUAUCAUUCUAUCAAUUCCCUAAAUUGCAUGUAUUCAUUAUUAAAUAUGAUUGUGGCUGACAAUGGUUUGCCUUUUAUGCUUUUGAUUGAUUAUUACAGAUGAACGUGAUGGGAAACCUAUUGGAAUAAAGGUGUGUGUAUACACCAAAACAUGCAAAUGUUCUUCUAGUUAAAUCAUUACUUUUGAUAAAUAUAAAAACUAACUCUUUUUUUUUCGUAAUUAUGCAGAUUGCUUCUGAUUGGUUAUAUGUUUAUCCAAGAGGAAUUCGUGACCUUUUAUUAUAUACCAAAGAAAAGUACAAUAAUCCUUUGAUUUACAUCACUGAAAAUGGUAAAUAACACUUCUCUAAAUACUUGAUUUCCUUUAUUGCACUGACAUAUACUAUUCUACAUGAUUUUUAAUUUUCCUAACCAAAUGAUAAUGUGUCCUUACUUAUAUUUUACCUUCUCUUAAUUUAUAGGUAUAAAUGAGUAUAAUGAACCAACAUUAUCACUUGAGGAAUCUCUUAUAGAUACCUUCAGAAUUGAUUAUCAUUACCGUCAUCUCUUUUAUCUUCAAUCCGCAAUUAGGUAAGUAAUUAAUAUUUUAUUUGUAUAAAAGGUUUAUGUUAUUUUGUAUUCCAACUUCAUUUUUUUAAUUUUUACAUUAUGUAGGAAUGGCGCAAAUGUGAAGGGAUAUUAUGUAUGGUCUUUGUUCGACAAUUUUGAAUGGUCUUCAGGUUAUACAUCACGUUUUGGGAUGAUCUUCGUGGAUUACAAAAAUGGUUUGAAGAGAUACCAAAAGCUUUCAGCGCAAUGGUUCAAGAAUUUUCUCAAGAAAGAAAGAAGACUUUAUAGCUCUAGUAAAUAAUAUGAAAUUCGUUUAUUCAUUGGUUUUGUAAAUAAUUAUUUGGUUUUUCUUUGAUAUUCUUUUAUUCUAAAGAGGUCCUAAUUUGACUUAGAGGGUAUUGAUUAUUCUUUUAUUCUAAAGAGGUCCCAUUGGACUGAGAGGUGAAACAAAGAUGUGUAUCGGUUGAUUAUAGCUUCUAUAUAUUGUUAUUGUUAUGAUAAGAAUGAAAGAAACUUUUGGUUAUGAUAAAGUGAUAUCAUUUACAAAUUGAUUAUGUUUGCUAACUAAUUUACUGUGCAUCUUAUUGUUAAUUCUUUGACAAAUGUAUCAAUUUGUUCAAGUAAUAAAUAAAACGGUAAGACUGAAUGUCGAAUUCAUAGAGACUCUUGUACUUAGAGUGUAUAUAUAUGACUCUUGUACUUAGAGUGUAUAUAUAUCAAAUCAAAUCUUUUUCACUGAUUAUGCAUAAGUAUAAAUUGAUGUAAAUUAACUAAAAACAAAACAAAUGCUCGGAGUUGUGAAAUGACGUUGCUAAUGAGUUAUGGGACGUGUUGGGAGCUCAGUCUAUCUAAACUACUCUUGAUGUAAUCCUAAAUAAUUUUUCUCUAUUUAACAUUAAAUUGAUUAUUACCCACAUCCACUAAUAUAUUCUAACCAUGACCCCUCAAGUAAAAGAGCUUAAAUCACCUAAUAUCGUUCCUAAUCCCUUAAGAGUUAUAUCAAAUAAUUUGUAUUACGAGUAGAGAUGCAUAAAUCAGGCUAAAUAAUAUCAUUAUAUCCCUAGAUAUAGAUCACCUAAAUGUUAUUUCCAAGUUUUUAGAAUAUGAAUAUUUUCCAAUGUCAAAAUCCUAAAACAUUACAUGAGAUUGGAUGAUCAGCAUGAUAAUAAGUAUAGAAAAGAACAAUAAUAUCAUCAUAACAUUAAAUAGAUAGUUAGAAUCAUUAUAUCAAGAGAGUUUGGUUUGUAGAGCUCUGGAAAGAAAAUGGAAGAGAAAUAGAAUGAAAUGGAUCGGUCAGAGCUCUGGAAAUAGAUUUUUCUUCCACUGGCUAUGGCUCCUUUGUUUUCCUUUGCUUCCUCCUUUCUUCAACUUGAAGGAUGUUGUGAAUGAAUGCCUUUGUCUUCAAAAUAUCUUUCCAUUUGAUGACCAAUUAGAACCUCCUUUAUGCGCUUAGUGUGAUGCUCGCGCUAAGCACACAUGUUCAACUAGAUUAAGUGAUCACGCGCUAAGCUAUAGGAUGCGUGCUUAAUGCGCUUGCACAUGGCAACUGACUUUCAAGAUGACUUCUUGCACUAAGUAGGCUUUUUGGACUGAGCUAUCCUGAUGUGCUAAGCGAGACUAUUGCGUUGAGCGCGACACUCCAAUACUUCAAUAUUCUUCCAAACCUCUGCUGUAUCUCUACAAAAAAAUACAACCAAAAUUACUUAUAAUUUGAUCAACUUUAGCAUCUUCUGGAUAAAAACUCAGAAGAGGCUAAAUUCCUAUUGUUUUGACUCAAAAGAAGCAAUAAAAGAGAAACAAAUUAGAUAAUUAUUAUGUGAUUUAAAUAUACAAAUAACGUAGGCAUAACAUUUAUCAUUUAUAUUGGGGGGUUUUGUUUAAGUUAAUGAUAAUAAAGCUCACCCUUAGUUUGUUCUCAUCGUGUGGCUAGAAAAUAGAAAUAAUACGAACCUGCAAACUAUUAGCACUACACAAUGUAGCAAUUAAAGAAACUAACAGAGAAAAGAUGUGCUGGAUUUAAACACAUCCAUAUGAAAUCAUGGUCAAACACAUCCAAACAGAAAUAAACUUAAUUAAGUGAUGAGGCAAACUAAAGGUACAUGAGGAUAUAGCUUGAAUUCUGAAUGUGAAAAUUAAGGAAGCAAGAAAUUAUAUAAAAGAUGAAAAGAUUAAUUAAGCACCUCUUUGAUCACACACUUUUGAAUCUCUCACGAAUUCUUGGGGGGAACUCUCUGUUGUGCGUUGGUGAAGGUGGGUAAGCGAGAACGAUGGAUUUACUUGGUUCGAGGUCAAGGUCCCUCCUCGCUAAAGCUAGCUUUCUCGAAAUGUUUCUCUGCUUUAUUCGAAUAUGCACCAAGUUUUUAUACAAUGGGUUUACACUGUUUUCAGAUAGCUAACAACUCUAACAGUUUCUAACUAACAGCUUACGCCGUUGCAACUAACUAACCAAUGGCUCAACUAAUUAACCAAUGGUUCAACGAACUAACCCAUGGUUCACAAGUCAUGACUUAACUAUCUAUUGUCAUGCAUGCAUGCAGUCACGUGCUGGACAAUUAUACAUAACUCUCCAAGUGCCUAGGUCGCGUGAUAUUCCUUCGCGGAUGUUCCUCUCGAGUCACAGGUGGUGGGUCUUCGUUCCUACCUCUGUUAGAAAAUUAUCAGGCACGAAUUGCAUGAAAACGAAAAUAAAAAUUCGUGCUAAAUAACAUUUUUCCUUAAUAUAUAUAUAUAUAUAUAUAUAUAUGUGUGUGUGUGCGCGUGUGUGUUUUCGCAGCUGCAUCUAUAACACUGGACCAUUGUUUCAAGUCAUUCUACCUCUUCCUACAUUCACAAUUUUAUGUUUCUUAGAUGUUUGCUGUAAUUUAUCAUUUGUUUAAUUAUGACCCAUUUUUGUUACGGUGUUUCUUUUUUAUCAGCAAAAUAAAUUCAUUAAAGUAGAGGAUUUAGGGUAAAGGAGUUCACGUACCCAACGCCUUACACCACAACAACAUUUAAUACAACUCAAAACAAGCAUCCAUUGAUCCUUUAUCCCAAUCCUGAACCAACGCUAUAAAAUCGAUCUAAGCUUCAUAGUUCAUAUCAAUAAAAAAAUGUGCACAAACUUUCUAUACUGUUAAUCAUAUACAAGAACAGUCUUUUCCAGCACCAUAUGUGGUGUUAUGCUUUUGUGAUGUUGCUAUAAGUUAGGCUUCGCAAAUACUAUAUAUGCAAAGAGCGUUUCGGUCUGCAAAAUGCUUGAUGUUACAAGCAUCUGCAUGUUUCUUAAUUUUAUUCGGGUAUUGCCUUUUCUUCUUUCUAUUUUAACUAUUAUGUUUACUUUUAUCUCAUUAUAGAUUGGGUGUAUACAUUCAAAUGACAAACUAAUCAAAUAAUAUUUCAUUUUUUUUAAACUAAUUUAAAAAGGAUUGUUAUUUGUAAAUAAAUAGAGCUUUAGAAAAAUGAUAAAUUUUUUAUAAUCAAAUAAAUAAGGAGAAAUAAAUUUAUUAAUUAAAAUAAUAGUUUGAGAGAAAAUAAAAAUAGUAUUUUAUUUAUUCAUUUGAUAGGGAAUAAAAUAGAGUUUAUUUUUAUAAAAUGAUAAAAAUAAAUAAAUAGAGUAAAUGAUAAGUUGUAAGUACCCUAGCUAGAGACGUGUUAGAUCAGUUUUUAGACUGACGAUGCCUCAUCUUUUUUUCAAUUUCGUUUUCUCCACUCCUCCUCCCAAAAUCCUCUCUUUUUCUCGCAUACCUCCAAACCUAUCUCAGAAAAAUGAUGAUCUCGGACCCAUUCACCAUUGGAUUGUCAUGAAAUUUGAGCACCGUGGUUGGAACUCAUUUACGAACAUUCUCACUAUUGGGAAUUAUGAAAAGAUAUUGGAGUUGAGAGAAAAAUUCUUUUUAUCGCAACUUUUUUUUCCAUAGAAACCCAAAACUGUCUCAGUAAAAUUAUGAUCUUGGACUCGUAGCCAUUGGAUUAUUGUGAAAUUUUGAUAUGAGGUUCAAGAUUUAAUUCCACACACCUUCACCUUUGAGAUUUGCGAAAUAAUUUUCGUGGAGAGAGAAAAAUGAAUCGCACGAAGACAUUACAAAAUGGAGGCUUCAAUCUCUUCUCCUUCUCUCUGACGUUUGGGAACCCUAUCAGAACAGUCGGAGGAAAAAUUGGAGAAAUCUCAGGAAACUGUUAGAGAUGUCGCUAUUACUAUCACAAUGUACACGUGAGUCUGCUUAGAGGUAAGGGAUACGUUUAUCGCAAUUGGGGUUAGAAUGAACAUGUGUAGGAUUUCUUAGAGGAUUAAAUUGAGAUUUAUUUUGAGAUGUUUAUUGAAUUACAAUUUUUCCUUUACGAUUAUAAAUACAAUAUUGUUUUUUAUAUGUACCAUUUGAUGUUCUGAUGAGAAUUAAUUGACAAACUUGAAUGCUCUUGAUGUUUUUUGAACCAUGUGAUAGGAAUAUUACAAUAACCUAAUUUGUUAGGCUUGUCCCCUAUUGGCAGACAAGCAUCAACCAAGCAAGAUUACAAGCAUCAACCAAGUAGAUUACGGUACUAGCUGUGUCCAUUUCCUCAUGCAUAGUCAUAGUUGUUGAGGUAAGAUGGUUUUGAAAUCUUUCUUUUGGGCUUUUCUUCUCCUUGCACCCUAGUUUUUGGCUUUGUAACUAUUGUUCCUGUUCUGUUUGCUGCUUCUGAUUCCUUAUCAUGAGCCUUAAAUAUAAAAUCUAGCAAUUCAAAAAUUGAAAGAACGAAUUACAUCCAGAUAGAGAUAUAUACAAGUAUGAAAUCAUCAAAACUUAAACUAAUAAACGACAUGCAUAAUCUGCAAUCUCCUUCAUCGGCACAAGGUUGCCACUAGCUAGCCAAAAAUGUUUAAUGUUCAAUUGAUUGUGUGUAUAUCAGUCAAAAUCUUAAUUUAUUAAUUCUAUUAAAAUCUUGAUUUUCAAACAAGGAUAAAUAAUCAAUAUUCUUGUGGGAAAUGUUCUUCACGUGAGAGUGAUUUUUGGGGUUAUUCUUUGAGUGGGUGUUUCUAAGAGUUUUUUCAACAAAAACGUUUUUGGAUAUUUUAUUAACUCCUUAUCUUUUUCAUUCUAUAAUUGCCAUAUUCAUUUCUAAAUUAAAUUUUAAUAUUUUUCAAAAAAUUUGCCAAUAGUUCAAAAUAAAGCCGUGGUUAACAAAUUAAAGAAUCUCAUUUCUCACAUAAGAUAUUUCCGUAUUGGCCAUUCAUUUUGGAGUUAAUUAAGUAGAUUCCUCUGCCGCUGGAUAUACAUGAUCAAUUUCAUCAUAAGUGUGGAAUAGCCAGAAAUAUCUCAUUUACACUAUAUAUCAUGACCACGCCAAUUACCAAAAGUGUCUUGCAUGAGAUUCAAAAGGUUCAAAGUUCUUUUAAAUGGGGUGAUCAACAAAAUGAUGAGGCUGGAAUGUAGUAAAUUGGCACACCAUGAUGAUUCCUAAGAGGUGCAUAUGGGUAUGUGUAAAUUUGUAGAAUUGAACAACGCUUGCCUAAUUAAUGAAGCUAGGAUGGACAUUUAGGUCAAGGGAUCAUCGCUGUAGAGCGUGCGGUUUAAGAGGGAAAAUUUGGUCGCUGAAUUCUUGAGAAAGAGUACUGUGGAAGUCAGUGACUGGCAGAAGGAAACAAAACAACUUUUAGUUAUUUAGAUUAAUAUUUUCCAGCUGAUCCUAAAGCGUUAUUUGUGAUGAUAUAAGAGAUGUUAGACAAAAAUAAUGCGCGCGGAUUCAACAUUCCCGGAAGUUUUAACUCUUUAUUUUCGUGUCCUUCCAUGAAACUUCGUGUGUGAAGAACAUUAUGUGCUUUCCCUUUUUCAAAAUACUAUACUAUACUAUUUUAUCUUUGACCAUACAACAGUAGAUCACUUGCAUGUGAGCUAAUAUUCUUGUUAAAAAAUGUCGCAUAAAAGACAUAGCCGUCUUUUAUUAUAAUCAACAUUAUUGGCAAAGUAAGAAAAACACGUGUGGAACAAGUCAACAGGAUUUUUAUCAAACAAGGUAGGCAGAUGCAUGGUGUUUACUCAGUCUUCUAAGUCAGCAAUAGACAGCAUACUAUAUAUUAUUAUUAUUAUUAUUAUUAUUGAAUCAACGUCGUAGUCAUAGAGUGGCAGUAGGUAUUCCACUCCUUCCUAUAUAAAGAGGAAAGGUUUCGGAGAUAGAGAACACCAAAACAAUCAACUAAGAAAAACAUAUCACACAAUAUGGCAUUCAAGGGCUAUUUCCUUCUCGGCCUCGUUACUCUUGUUCUUGUUAAAUCUUCCAAAGUUACAUGCGAAGAAGAAUCAGUUAAUACAGUUUCACCCAUUAUUGACAUUUCACUCAAUCGGAAGAGUUUCCCAGAAGGGUUCAUAUUUGGGGCGGGAUCUUCCUCGUACCAGUUCGAAGGGGCAGCAAAGGAAGGUGGUAGAGGACCAAGUGUAUGGGAUACCUUCACCCAUAAUUAUCCAGGAAAGAUCAUGGAUAGAAGCAACGGAGACAUGGCAAUUGACUCAUAUCACAACUACAAGAAAGAUGUUGGGAUGAUGAAGGAUAUGAAUUUAGAUUCAUAUAGAUUUUCCAUAUCUUGGUCAAGAAUUCUCCCAAGUAAGUUAAUUUGCUUACACCCAAUGACUAAUUUGAAAUAAAUUUUCCCUAGUUGGAUGUUACCCAUUAACCAUUUUCUAAUUAAACUAUAUAUCUACAGAAGGAAAGCUAAGUGGAGGUAUCAAUCAAGAAGGAAUCAACUAUUACAACAACCUUAUCAAUGAGCUACUAGCUAAUGGUUAGAAUUUAAUUAUACUCAAUUGAUUCAACUUCAGCGUACUUCGACUUUAAUUUUUUAAUAUUUCGUUAUUGUUAAGAAUCAUAGUUAAUAAGAUAUUAACAUUUACAGGUAUACAACCACUUGUAACUCUCUUUCAUUGGGAUCUUCCUCAAGCUUUAGAAGAUGAGUAUGGUGGCUUUUUAAGUCCGCGCAUAGUGUAAGUUUCAAUUCUAAUACAUAGCUUAUUUGUGUACUUAGCACAUUAUAUUUAACAUCUAGAUAUGAAUAUAAUUUGUCUAACAAACAUAUAUUGAUCUUCAGGAAAGAUUUUCGAGACUAUGCAGAACUUUGCUUCAGGGAAUUUGGCGAUAGGGUGAAGUAUUGGGUUACAUUGAAUGAGCCAUGGAGUUACAGCCAAAAUGGCUAUGCAAAUGGGCGAAUGGCACCUGGCCGUUGUUCUGCAUGGAUGAAUCUGAAUUGCACUGGUGGUGAUUCUUCAACGGAGCCUUACUUGGUUACACAUCACCAACUUCUUGCUCAUGCAGCUGCUGUUCGUGUGUACAAGACCAAGUACCAGGUUAGUUUAUUUGUUCUUAAUCUUUUAGAUAUGCUACAAGGUUCACUUUGCCUUAUUAAACUUUACCUUGAGCCAGGAAUUAGAAAAAGGAAAUUCUCAUAAAGGUUGUUUGACAUUUUUGUUUUCUAACUAAAUAUUUAAAUACAAUGUAUGCAGGCAUCUCAAAAUGGUGUGAUAGGCAUAACCUUGGUAGCUAAUUGGUUUUUGCCGCUCAGAGAUACCAAAUCUGAUCAAAAGGCUACAGAAAGAGCAAUUGACUUCAUGUAUGGAUGGUAAGAGUUGAUCUUUCCCUUUAUGUAACUUUAUUUGAUGUUGAGAAUGCAUGCCCUGUUGAACAAAAAAAUUGAAUUGACAACUAAUUUAUUUUAUUUCAGGUUUAUGGAUCCAUUAACAUCUGGAGACUAUCCCAACAGCAUGCGAUCACUUGUGAGGACAAGAUUACCAAAGUUUACUGCAGAGCAAUCCAAACUACUUAUUGGUUCAUUUGAUUUUAUUGGCCUAAACUAUUACUCUACAACAUAUGCCUCUGACGCACCUGAUCUAAGCGAAGCCCGUCCUAGCUACUUAACAGAUUCUCUUGUCACUCCUGCAUGUAAGGACUUCAAUUGUCUAUCAUUCUAUCAAUUCCCUAAAUUGCAUGUAUUCAUUAUUAAAUAUGAUUGUGGCUGACAAUGGUUUGUCUUUUAUGUUUUUGAUUGAUUAUUACAGAUGAACGUGAUGGGAAACCUAUUGGAAUAAAGGUGUGUGUAUACACCAAAACAUGCAAAUGUUCUUCUAGUUAAAUCAUUACUUUUGAUAAAUAUAAAAACUAACUCUUUUUUUUUCGUAAUUAUGCAGAUUGCUUCUGAUUGGUUAUAUGUUUAUCCAAGAGGAAUUCGUGACCUUUUAUUAUAUACCAAAGAAAAGUACAAUAAUCCUUUGAUUUACAUCACUGAAAAUGGUAAAUAACACUUCUCUAAAUACUUGAUUUCCUUUAUUGCACUGACAUAUACUAUUCUACAUGAAUUUUAAUUUUCCUAACCAAAUGAUAAUGUGUCCUUACUUAUAUUUUACCUUCUCUCAAUUUAUAGGUAUAAAUGAGUAUAAUGAACCAACAUUAUCACUUGAGGAAUCUCUUAUAGAUACCUUUAGAAUUGAUUAUCAUUACCGUCAUCUCUUUUAUCUUCAAUCCGCAAUUAGGUAAGUAAUUAAUAUUUUAUUUGUAGAAAAGGUUUAUGUUAUUUUGUAUUCCAACUUCAUUUUUUUAAUUUUUACAUUAUGUAGGAAUGGCGCAAAUGUGAAGGGAUAUUAUGUAUGGUCUUUGUUCGACAAUUUUGAAUGGUCUUCAGGUUAUACAUCACGUUUUGGGAUGAUCUUCGUGGAUUACAAAAAUGGUUUGAAGAGAUACCAAAAGCUUUCAGCGCAAUGGUUCAAGAAUUUUCUCAAGAAAGAAAGAAGACUUUAUAGCUCUAGUAAAUAAUAUGAAAUUCGUUUAUUCAUUGGUUAUAUUUGUAAAUAAUUAUUUGGUUUUUCUUUGAUAUUCUUUUAUUCUAAAGAGGUCCUAAUUUGACUUAGAGGGUAUUGAUUAUUCUUUUAUUCUAAAGAGGUCCCAUUGGACUGAGAGGUGAAACAAAGAUGUGUAUCAGUUGAUUAUAGCUGCUAUAUAUUGUUAUUGUUAUUGUUAUAAUAAGAAUGAAAAAAACUUUUGGUUACGAUAAAGUGAUAUCAUUUACAAAUUGAUUAUGUUUGCUAACUAAUUUAUUGUGCAUCUUAUUUUUAACUCUUUGACAAUCGUACCAAUUUUUUCAAGUAAUAAAGAAAAUGAUAAGACUGAAUGUCAAGUCCAUAAAGACUUUGCUUGUAUUCAGACUUUAUAUAUAUAUAUAAAUUUUAAGCAAUUGAUGAGUCAUAUCAAAUUUUUUUCAUUGAUUGUGCAUAAAUAUAAAUUGAUGUAAAUUAACUACAAGACAAAACAAACGUUCGGAGUUGUGAAAUGACGUUGCUAAUGAGUUAUGAGACGUGUUGGGAGGUCAGCCUACAAGAACUACUCUUGAUACAAUCCUAAAUGAUUUUGCUCUAUUUAACAAUAAAUUGAUUAUUACUCACAUCCACUAAUAUACUCUAGCCAUUAUCCCUCAAGUGAGAGAGCUUAAAUUACCUAAUAUCACUCUUAAUCCCUUAAGAGUUAUAUCAAAUAAUAUGUAUUACGAGCAGAGAUGCAUAAAUCAGGCUAAAUAAUAUCAUUAUAUCCCAAGAUAUGGAUUACCUAAAUGUUCAUUCCAAGUUCCUAGAAUAUGAACAUUUUCCAAUGUCAAAACCCUAAAACAUUACAUGAGACUGGAUGAUCAGACCACAGACAUGAUAAUAAGCACGGAAAAGAACAAUAAUAUCAACAUAGCAUUAAAUAAAUAGUUAGAAUUAUUACAUCAAGAGAGUUUGGUUUGUAGAGAUCCCAACAACAGUGGGUUUUAGACUAUCAUUGUAAUGAGAAGCUUACAAAUAUAAAAGGUGAAUGAAAUGAAAGAAAAUGGAAGAGAAAUGGAAUGAAACGAAUCGGCUAGAGCUCUGGAAAUAGACCCCUCACCUCUCAAUAUACGAGCAAUGCUACGUAGUACAAAAAUUAUCAGGCACGAAUUGCAUGAAAACAAAAAUAAACAUUCAUGCUAAAUAACAUUUUUCCUUAAUAUAUAUAUAUAUAUGUGUGUGUGUGUGUGUUUCAAGCCAUUCUACCUCUUCCUACACUACUAAAAAAUUGAUUUUUUACGACACACACUCUAAGACGGUUAUACGUAACCGUCUUAGAAUGUCACGCGGUGACAAUUUUGUAAUUAAGAAGAAUUUUUUUUAUGACACACAUUCUAAGGCGGUUCCAAGAACUGCCUUAGAAUGUACUAGGAGCAACGUAAACCACAACGGGUUUAUACAUAAAAACGUCAUUGUUUUUCUUCGCUUAAUUACAUAAUUGCCACUCCGCGUUUGAAAUCCCUAGAGCCCCUUCAGCCUCUUGCAUUUCCUCUUGCCUUGGCCACCAGCAUCACCCACUUUUGCAACUAGCUCCACGCCAUCCUCGGCUACCGCUGCUCCAACGAUGAUGAUUCUUCUUCUUUUAUUUCUCACCACCUUCUAGAUUCUUCCACCGUCUUCGCCCACCACUUACUCGCUUGCUUCUACACUUAUCUAGGUCAACUCACUCUCUAUUUCUUCAUUUGUUGCAUCACUUCUAUACACAGGCACGUUUGCAGGUUCUCGCACGUGUUUUUAUGCACGCGAUUUGGAUUUGCAUGAACUCAAUCGUCGAUGGGGCACAAAAAGUGAAACACUGUGUCGCGCUCGAAACAAUCCCUCACGGCUGCCACCGCCAACGGUGUUGCCACCUCGCCGGACGCCUACACCACGUGCAAUGUUUUUUAUCACAACCCUAGGAUGAUCAAAUUGGCCACGCUCCAAUCCGAGGGGUCCGAUUACUCCACAAUCAAGCUCAAAUGCGAGCGCACACUCACCACGCUCCACUGCGGGAACCACACGAAGGCAACGAAGGCAAUGAAGCAGUUGAGGCAGUUUAAAAUCAUAUUAAUUAAAAGUUUUGGGGCCUCGUACGUACAUGAGUCUUUGUUUCUCUCAUAAAUUAGUUUUAAUUAGUUGAAUUAAAAAAUAUUUUUAAUUGAAAAAAAUCUGCUCAAAAUGUUUUCUAUUAUCAGUUUUGGAUCAUUUUGAAAAAAAAUCUGUUCAAAAUGCUUUUCUUUAAUCUUGUAUUCCAUUGAUUUUAAAUGUGAUAUCAAAUUCAUCUUUCUACUAUGUUGUAUAUGCAUUUUUCAUGUUCUCUGCCUACCAGAUCAAGUGCAUGUCUAACUGGAAGAAAUAAUCACUUACUUUGUCAACUUCCUAAGGUAGAUUUUGAAGAAGAUGGUGAUUAUUUCUGGGAAAAUAAUCAUUCCUAAACAUGCAGAGUGUUAUUAGAAAAUAGAAUGGAAGAAGUACAAUAACAGACGAUAUGGUAUCCCCAUCGAAGAAACAAAAUGUGUGAUUGCCACUACAAACAAUAUUAUCUAUAAUCUUGUCUUUCUCACUGUAUAUCCUACUAAGGAACUCAAAAUAUUCUUGUUGUCUGAAGUGUUGAGCACCAUUAUGAGAAGACAAUUUUUCUCACAGAAUUGGCACAUACUCUACUUUUAUUCAAGUUGGGUUACUUCUUUUUUAUGCAUUUGUUCAUUAACUAUGCUUCAUUACUAAUUGGCUUCCUUCCAAAUACUCCAGCUCAAUUUGGUCUUGCUGUUGAUUUUUGGAAGCUGCUUGUAGAAGCUAAGGUUUAUGCUCUAAUGAAUAAAUGCUAUAAUGGUAUCUCAAGAAAACUGAGAAUGUUUUGGUGUUUAUUGUUUUUAAUUUUUAAAAGCAAAAAGUGGAAGCCAGCUAACUCUGAUUUUGAAGUCUACUCCUAUGAAAAAAAAGUCUACUCUAAAAGUACUACCAAUUUUUAAAGAGUCUGUGAGAACUUUACCCAGCACUUGAAAUUUUUUGCUCGUUCUUUGAAUAAGGAGAAGCCUGUUACUACACAAUUGAGACUCAACUGAAUGGAACUUUUUAUGCUACUUAUUUUAAAAUGAACUGGGUUAUAUAUACAUAUUUACAUUUUACUUGAAUCCCAUAUGUCCGUAAACCUUAACGGAUAUUAAGCCAUAUGGUACUCAACUUGUUAACAUUGAUAUAUGAGUAUUCUUGGUGUAUAGAAUUUUCAUGUGAUCAAUUAACGUUGCCAUGGGUUCCAAUAUUGCUUUUUAUAUUUGCAAAUUUUUAAUUUCUAAUAUGGUAACAAAAAAGAAAUGCUAAUCUCUAUCUUUUGUAUUCUCCUGUUUUAUGAACAGUGUAGUGGUCUUUUGUACUAUGCUCUCUUCCUUGUUUUUGAUUGUUGUUUUGGUCUGCAGGAGCAAAAGCUUUUGGAUGAAAUCGAUCGGCUUAAAGAAGAACUACAGCAUUGUGAUGAGAACAUGAACAGCAUUGUGCCCUCCUUAGCAAAAGUAGAAAGGAGAAACAUAGUAAGCUGCAAAAGUAUAUUAUUUACUACUUUUCAUAGUCAAGAAAAUAUUUCUUAUGAGUUUAAAUUGUUACGUUAUAGGUCCCUAUGGGGCAAAGAGAAUGAACUUACUGCUGAAAUUGAUAAGCUGAGAGCUGAAGUUGAGAAGGCUGAAAAGAGUCUUGAUCAUGCAAUUCCUGGUGUGAGUAACCCCUCUUUCUAACAAUGUUUGAAUACCUAGAUGAUAAAAAUGACAACUUGCGAGUCAUAGGUCAACCCAGUCAGUCCCUAGUCACAGGUUGUUGUUUUUGUCUAUCACCAUGUUUGACACUAUUAUGAUGUUCAGGAUGUGAGAAGAGGGUUGAAUUCAGUUACGAAGAUCUCCAGGGAGUAACAUUUCUGGAGUUCAAGGUCCAAUUAUAGAGUUGCUGAAUUGUGAUGAAAAGUUUUUCACUACUGUUGAAGUUAUUGCAGGACACAGGUCAUUUCUCAUUGAUAUAUGUAUUUGAUUCAUCACAUAUUGCAUUGAGCAUUUUCCUAUAUUGUUUUGGGAGAGGGGUAGGAGAAUUUGGCACGUCAGUUGUUUCAAAAAUAUAUUUAAGCCUUUUCAGUAUUUGUUCUUGGCCUGAUUUCUUUACUGGUUUUUUAUUUUUGCACAUUUGGCUUUAAUGUUUUUAUUUAACAUCUUUUUUUUGAACAACUUAUUUCAUGUGGUUGUUGAAAAUGAUGACAACUCAACCCAGAUAAUUAGACAUCUUAAUUCACAGAAAGGUGGUCGAGUUACAUUUAUUUCACUUUACAGAGUAAAGGGUCCACGUAUCACUUAUCCACAGAGUUCGGAUGUCAUACCUCUUUUAAAGAAAUUGAACUUUAAGCAUGACUAUACUCCUGCAUUCAGUCAAGUUAGCUUCUAAACAAAUGCUAUCUUUUAUUUAACACGGGUACAACAUCUCUAUGUGCUAUUUGUGAUAAAAUAAUUCUGAGGUUUUGGUCUAUUAGAUGUCAACUUAACAUGAAAAAUUGAUGCAUAAUGGAGAAGCAUGUUAAUUUAUAAUAAUCAUGGUAUUUAAAUACCAUGAUUAUGAAAUAAGAAUUUUGAUUGAAUGCAUUUGGUGAUGCUGAUAAGUCGAUGAGAAUGAGAUAUAUAACCUAGAUAUCUAAUGAGAUAUAGUGGGUUUGCAAGUAGUAAGUGAUAUAUGCAUACAAUAUGUGUUGUAUACACUAUAAAGUUAGAAUAGGAACCUUCGUGGUUCAUUACAAUUUGCUAGUUAAUGAUUAUAAACUGUCGAUAUAUAAUACCAAGGUUCAUGUAAACAUUUUGUACCGAAACAUUUGUAAUUGUCAUUCGUGAAGAAAAAGAAAAAAAAAUAAUAAUUCAACAUCGGUUAUUUGGAUAACCGAUUCCCGAAUAUACUACAUCAGUUAGCUGGAAAAUACGAUGUAGAAUGUUUGACCUUGGUUGUCUAUUCAACGACAUUUAACGGCCAAAACUGAUGUGGAAUGACAGACAUUCUAUAUCAGUCAAUUAGACAACCGAUGUUAAAUUAUUACUUUCUACAUUAGUUCAUGCCAAGAGAUCGUAGUAGAAUUAACGCCAUUCUACAACGGUCGUAGCCAAGAGAUCAUAGUAGAAUUAACACCAAUCUACAUCGAUUGCGGAGACCGAUGUAGAACACCUACCCCUUUUACGAUGUCUUCUAUAACAUCGGUUAUAAUAACCAAUAUAACCGAUGUAGAAUGACCAUUUUGUAGUAGUGCUACAUUCACGAUUUUAUGCUUCUUAGAUGUUUGCUGUGAUUUAUCAUUUGUUUAAUUAUGACCCAUUUUUGUUACGGAGUUUCUUUUUUAUCAGCAAAAUAAAUUCAUUAAAGUAGAGGAUUUAGGGUAAAGCAGUACACGUACCCAACGCCUUACACCACAACACCUUUCAAUACAACUCAAAACAAGCAUCCAUUGAUCCUCUACCCCAAUCCUCAACCAACACUGUAAAAUCGAUCUAAGCUUCAUAGUUCAUAUCAAUAAAAAAAAUGUGCACAAACUUUCUAUACUGUUAAUCAUAUACCAGAACAGUCUUUUCCAGCACCAUACAGUGUGGUGUUAUGCUUUUGUGAUGUUGCUAUAAGUUAGGCUUCGCAAAUACUAUAUAUGCAGAGAGCGUUUCGGUCUGCAAAAUGCUUGAUGUUACAAGCAUCUGCAUGUUUCUUAAUUUUAUUCGGGUAUUGCCUUUUCUUCUUUCUCUUUUAACUAUUAUGUUUACUUUUAUCUCAUAAUAGAUUGGGUGUAUACAUUCAAAUGACAAACUAGUCAGACACUCGUGUGACGAAUUGAUUUGAACACGUUUUAAAAUGACUUAGAUAUAUAUUAACCUCGUCAAUGUAAUACAUAUCCAUAUUACAAAUUCCUCUUGACUUUGAUAUGCCAAAAUUUGUGGCACAAUAGAUAUAAAAUGUUUAGUGAGGAAUUUUGACAUCUAAAAUCUAAAAGUAACACAAUAAAAAAAUAAUCUAAAAGUAACAAAACAUUUUAUAAAGACUAAAACUAACGAAUAGAAUCAUAUUUGUAGAGAUUUGAGCCUUGAAUAUAAUGUCUAGCAAUUAAAAAAUUGAAAGAACGAAUUACAUUCAAAUAGAGAUAUAUACAAGUAUGAAAUCGUCAAAACUUAAACUAAUAAAAGACAUGCAUAAUCUGCAAUCUCCAUCAUCGGCACAAGGUUGCCACUAGCUAGCCAAAAAUGUUUAAUGUUCAAUUGAUUGUAUGUAUAUCAGUCAAAAUCUUAAUUUAUUAAUUCUAUUAAAAUCUUGAUUUUCAAACAAGGAUAAAUAAUCUAUCUUGUCGGAAAUAUUCUUCACGUGAGAGUGACUUUUGGGGCUAUUCUUUGAGAAGGGCGUUUCUAAGAGUUUUUUCAACAAAAACGUUUUUGGAUAUUCUAUUAACUCCUUAUCUUUUUCAUUCUAUAAUUGUCAUAUUUAUUUCUAAAUUAAAUUUUAAUAUUUUUCAUAAAAUUUGUCAAUAGUUCAAAAUAAUCUUAUGUCUUAGUAUCAAUUAUUUAUCAUAAACUUAAAAUAUAAUUUAUGUAUUUAAAAAUAUUUAUUUAUUAUGAAUUUGAAUUAUAUUAUAAUUAUAUAUUCAAAAUAUUUAUUAAUUAUAAAUUUUAGUCAUAUACCCCGUGCACAUGGCUAACACCCAUACGGACACACUUCUCUGGGUAUAAUUUGUCCAAAUUUUUCACGCAAUCCAACUUUCAUCAAAUUCAUGUUUAUCUAUGCAUGUCAACAAUUUUCGAAAUUGGUCAAAGCCAGCUUAGGGAUAUUGACUGAUUAAAUUUUUUAAAAUAUUAUCAUCUUUCAUCAUUCAAAGUAAGUUUCCGGAUUAUCAACCAAGCGAACACACAUUUUUAAUUUAAUCAAUCAUUAAAUUUUUCAGUCGGUAUUAAAUAUAAUAAUAUAAUUAUAAAUUAUUAUUGAAAUGAUAAUAUAUUGAUUAAAUAUUUUUAUGAUUUUCACAAUAUAAAUAUUUAAAUGUAUAUUUUCAUAAUAUAUUUAUGUUAUUCAUUCAAAAUAAAACAUAUAUAUAUAUAUAUAUAUAUAUGUAUAAAACAAACAAAAAAACACUAUCUACAAACCAACUUUUAAUUUAAAACAUUAUUUAUUAUUUAGAUUAAUACUUUCCUGCUGGUCUUAAAUAGUUGCUUUUAUAAGAGAUGUUGAACAAAAAUUGUGUAUUCAAAUUUCGUCUAAUUUUUGUUUUAAUUAAUUUCCAUGUAACUUCGUUUGAAAAACAUUAUGGACAUUCCCUUUUACAAAUUAAAAUAAACUUUUGUCUUUGACCAAUGACCAUACAUAUUCAGAUAAUAUGCUUAUUUUCUUGUUAAUUAAAAGAAUGUUAUAUAUAAGACAAUUAACCGUGAGCCGUCUUUUUUGAUUAUCAACUUGGAAAAUGGCCAGAGAAAAACGUGGUAAAAGUCAGCAGAAUAUAUCAAACGAGGUAGGCAUGAGCAUGCAUUAAUGUUUAUUAAAUCUACUAGUCAGCACUACAGUUUGGUGGGUAGGUAUUCCUACCCAUAUAUAAAGAAGCAAGCAUUCCCAGAGAUAACAUCAAACGACAGCACCUAUCUAUAUAGAUAAAGAGGCAAUUAAGCAUUCUCAGAUAUAACACUAAACCACUAAGCAAAAUAUAUCGAUCACACGAUAUGGCAUUUAAAGGCUAUUUCCUUAUCGGCCUCAUUGCUAUUGUUGUUGUCACUUCCAAAGUUACAUGCGAAUUAGAAGCAGAAACAGUUUCACCUAUUAUUGACAUUUCACUCAAUCGGAACAGUUUCCCUGAAGGCUUCAUCUUUGGGGCAGGAUCUUCCUCGUACCAGUUCGAAGGUGCAGCAAUGGAAGGUGGUAGAGAACCAAGUGUAUGGGAUACCUUCACCCAUAAUUAUCCAGCUAAGAUCAAGGAUAGAAGCAACGGAGACGUGGCAAUUGACUCAUAUCACCACUACAAGGAAGAUGUUGGCAUGAUGAAGGAUAUGAAUUUGGAUUCAUAUAGAUUUUCCAUUUCUUGGUCAAGGAUUCUCCCAAGUAAGUUAAUUGCUUAUGAUGACUAAUUUAAACUAAAAUUUUCCUAGUUGAAUGUUACCCAUUAACCAUUUUUUAUUUAAACUAUAUAUAUCUACAGAAGGAAAGCUAAGUGGAGGUAUAAAUCAAGAAGGAAUCAACUAUUACAACAACCUUAUCAAUGAGCUACUAGCUAAUGGUUAGAAUUUAAUUAAACUCAGUUGAUUCAACUUUUAUUGUAUUUUCAGUUUAAUUUUAUCAUAUUGCCUUGUUAUUGACAACCAUAAUUAAUAUUAUAUAUUAAUAAUUACAGGUAUACAACCACUCGUCACUCUUUUUCAUUGGGAUCUUCCUCAAGCAUUAGAAGACGAGUACGGCGGCUUCUUAAGUCCACUUAUAGUGUAAGUUUCAAUUCUAAAACACGGCAUAUUUAUGUCUUUAGCACAUUUAACAUAUAGAUAUGUAUGCAAUUUGUUGAACAAAACAUAUAUUAAUCUUCAGGAAAGAUUUUCGGGACUAUGCGGAAAUUUGCUUCAAGGAAUUUGGUGAUAGGGUGAAGUAUUGGGUUACUUUGAACGAGCCAUGGAGUUACAGUCAGCAUGGUUAUGCAAAUGGAGGAAUGGCACCAGGUCGUUGUUCUGCUUGGUUAAAUUCAAAUUGCACUGGAGGUGAUUCUGCAACAGAGCCUUAUUUGGUUACACAUCACCAACUUCUUGCUCAUGCAGCAGUUGUUCGUGUGUACAAGACCAAGUAUCAGGUUAGUUAAUUUGUUCUAAACCUUUUAGAUAUGUUAUAGGUAGACUUUGCCACAUUUAAUUUACAUUGAGCGAGGAAUUAGAAAAAGGAAGUUAUUUAUAAAAGUUGUUUUACACUUUCUUUCUUAUGUACUCAGGUGUCUCAAAAGGGUUCAAUAGGCAUAACUUUGGUAGCUAAUUGGUUUAUACCGCUCAGAGAUACCAAAUCUGAUCAAAAGGCUGCUGAAAGAGCAAUUGACUUCAUGUAUGGAUGGUAAGAGUUCCUACCACCCUUUAUCUAACUUUGGUUUCUACAAAAUGCAUUGCAUUUAUAUUACAUCAAAAACCAAUAAAGAAAUACAAUGAAUAAGUAUUAUCUAAUAGACUAUAUCUUGAUGUGUUGGGGGUUCGUAAUCCUUAAUUAGUUUUUCAAGGCUUCUACACAUUUCCCUAACCUUAAAUGGUGGUCUUUCAAUGGUAGCGUAUAUAUUAAGGAUUUGAUACGGGGGUCUUGAUAUUUUUUCUAUUUAGUAUUGAAAAUGCAUGACUUGUUGAACAAAAAUUUUAAUUGAUAGGUAAUUGAUUUCAGGUUUAUGGAUCCAUUAACAACCGGAGACUAUCCAAAAAGCAUGCGAUCUCUUGUGAGAACAAGAUUGCCAAAGUUUACUACAGAGCAAUCCAAACUACUUAUUGGUUCAUUUGAUUUUAUUGGCCUAAAUUAUUACUCUACAACAUAUGCCUCUGAUGCACCUCAGCUAAGCAAUGCUAGACCUAAUUACAUAACAGAUUCUCUUGUCAGUCCAGCAUGUAAGGACUCCAAUCUUCUAUCAUUCUAUCAAUUCCCCAAAUUGCACGUAUACAUUAUUAAAAAUGAUCAUGGUUGAUAAUGGUUUGUCUUUUAUAUUUGUGAUUG
rnacentral:lncRNA from 1 species